CUUUUCUUUCCAGUUUUACUCCGUCUUCUUCUUCAACUCCUUGUUUGCACACACACACACCCAGAAAUCCUUUCCUUUUCAGACAAGCGCACGCCCGCCCCUUCCGACACUUCCGAUGAUAUAGCUGUCUCUUUCCAUUUUCCAUUUCUCUUUUAUAUCAACGUCCCUCAUUUCUCCACGUGUCUCCGGAUCUCAACCCACUAUUUAAAUAUACUUUUUCUUUUCCUCUUCCUCGGCCAUUUCAUCUCCUUUCCUACAGAGAAUCUAGAGCGGGAACAAAACGACUCGCCGUUUUCUUCCGUCUAUCUGGCUUCUCCGUUCUUAGUAGAUCCGACGUUCACCAGCCGGAAAACUCCUCGUACGGGAUCCAUACAAGUUAACAACCUUAAAACCGACAGCG
rnacentral:misc_RNA from 1 species